rnacentral:rRNA from 1 species
GGACCCGCACAAGUAGUGGAGCAUGUGGUUUAAUUCGAAGAUACGCGCAGAACCUUACCAACACUUGACAUGUUCGUCGCGACUUUAAGAGAUUAAAGUUUUCGGUUCGGCCGGACGAAACACAGGUGCUGCAUGGUUGUCGUCAGCUCGUGCCGUGAGGUGUCAGGUUAAGUCCUAUAACGAGCGCAACCCCUACUGCUAGUUGCUAACAGGUUAAGCUGAGGACUCUAGUAGGACUGCCUGUGAUAAGCAGGAGGAAGGUUGGGAUGACGUCAAGUCCUCAUGGCCCUUACGUGUUGGGCUACACACGUGCUACAAUGGCAGUGACAAUGAGAUGCUAAACGGCGACGUUAAGCUAAACUCAAAAACCUGCCUCAGUUCGGAUUGCACUCUGCAACUCGAGUGCAUGAAGCUGGAAUCGCUAGUAAUCGC